UGCAUAUGUAUGGUGUGGAAAGCAUGUUUGGAUGGGCCUUGCUCAAGCGUUACAGAUGCAAACACGGAAGGACUCAAACAUAGAAGCAUCAUAUGAGGAUACCUCAACCUCACGUGGCUGUCCCCCUCUUUCAUGCUUUCAAGUUCUUCGUCUAAACCACAACAACUCCGUCGCGCCGGAGCUCAUCACCAGCGGCGACGGAGCAUGAAACCACAUCAAACCUACACCGUUCCACUCGUUUCGUCAUCCUCUAUUCAAAUUCCUAGUCAAUUUUGCACGAUUAUGGCUAAAAGUCCAAAUCGAGCCUUUCUAACUAUGAACCCUAAGUUAUAACAUCAUAAAUUAAAUCCUCCGUUGGAGGAAUCAAAGUCCCUAGGGUUAGGGCUUUGAUUCCUUAAGUACUAAUAUACAUACCGGUAAGCGAUUUAAAGCAGAACUAAGCAUAAUUUGGACUUACCUGCCAGAGAAGAUGAAGAUG
rnacentral:lncRNA from 1 species